ensembl:snoRNA SNORA74 Small nucleolar RNA SNORA74
UCCAGUGGUAGUCAGCUGUCCAGGGCGGUAUGCCUGUGAUAGUGUUACACUGCUGGGAGAUAAAUAUCAGUCAUUUCUUCUUGCUGCUGUUGUCACCAUUAUGGAGACAGCUAAUGCCAAAAAGAAGUGUUGAUGUGCUUCCCUGAGAGUGCGCUAAAGAAUUGCUUUCCCUCUUUAGUGCUAGUCUGGGAGCAUACAUA